UUCGGAAUGAAGUUUUAGUGACUGAGUGGCGGACGGGUGAGUAACGCGUGGGUAACCUGCCUCACACAGGGGGAUAACAGUUGGAAACGGCUGCUAAUACCGCAUAAGCGCACAGCUUCGCAUGAAGCAGUGUGAAAAACUCCGGUGGUACAAGAUGGACCCGCGUCUGAUUAGCUGGUUGGUGAGGUAACGGCCCACCAAGGCGACGAUCAGUAGCCGACUUGAGAGAGUGAUCGGCCACAUUGGGACUGAGACACGGCCCAAACUCC
rnacentral:rRNA from 1 species